GUUUUGAGAAGCUCAUCAGCAUUGGUCUUGUAAACCAAAGACAGGGUCACACCCCCAGAACU
rnacentral:tRNA from 1 species